rnacentral:miRNA from 1 species
UCUCAGUAAGUGGCACUCUGU